GUAUAGCUGGAUUCAGAUCAGGAUUGGCACUAGGAUUGACACGUCCCUCAUCUGAUGAAGAAGUUUCUUGGCCUUUGAAUUCAUUGAUGUAACAAUCAGCAAACCCUUUAGAAACUAAAUGAAGAUGAAUUUGAAACACAUCACUCCAUCUUGUCAUGCAUUGACAUUGAGCAUAUGGGCACAGAAAAGAUCCACCAGCUUGAUUUGCUGAUGUGCCAAAGGUUUCAACAAAAGUUCAGAAUUUGGCCUUCCACUCCUAUGUCGAGGCAAGCGCAUCCAACUCCUAUCUUCGUGUGAUGACAUUGAGCUGCAUAUAGAUGCACCCAAGAUCGAUCAUGAUCUAGCAUGAACUAGGGCAUACGAGAGAUGGAGACAACGUACGUAUUAGUGGCGGCGUAGAGAUGUAUAUCGAUGUUGAGGUACACCUUCAAAAUUAGCUUUAUUGAUCCAGAUCGACGAUGAGGUUGCUUCGAUUGGCGGCGCAAAGAUGUGCGUACCAGUGGUGGCCUUGAAAAUUAUUUUUCAACAGAUGUCAUUUCACCUCGCUCCUAAAUUAACGCUAAAAAUAUUUGAUUCUUUUUUUAUAUACCCUGUCGAAGGGACCUUUCAAAAUAAAGUAGUAGGUCCAAGUUUAAUGACAACACUCAUUAGGUGAAGCGGUUAGUGCACCAAUCCAUACAACAUGAGGUGUUGGGUUCAAAGCCUGGCCUGUGCAGGUGCUGAUGUUUUUUUAUUUUUUUUGCUAUUUGCCUGGUGAGAAGUUUUUUGAAAUUUCCUAAACUAAACGAACUCGAGAAGUGAGAAGGUUUUGGGAUACAACUCCUAUCCAUAAAACGUCUAGAGACACAAGCCACCAUCAUAAGCUAACUGGGAGACAAUGGCCCUAUUUGGAUCCCUGGGUUAGAGUUAGAUUUGGAUAUUUGAAGGUGAAAUAUCCCAAAAGCAUCCAAACAGGAGGGUUAGAAUAGGGUUAGAUGCAUCUACAAACCCACCUAAAAAAACUAACCCCUUCAAGGGAUGAUUAUAGGGGUUAGAUUUAGUUAGACACAUCAAAUCCACUGCAUGUUGAAUGAAACAUGCUAAUCUAACCCAAUCUAACUCUUAAUCCAAACUCCACAAGAGUUAGAGUUAAUUUAAGGUUAGAUUAGAGUAAGAAAAUAACUCUAACUCUAACCGAGUUAGAAGGAUCCAAACACGGCCAAUAAGAGACACAAGCCACCAGCAUAAGCUAACUAAAGUUUUACACAAUAAGAGACACAAAAGCUAACUGGGAGCAUGAAGUUUUUGGAGAUCCAACUCCUAAAGUAACAGAUAUCCAGAGCAUGAAGUUUUACACAAAAGCAUCUUAGUUCUUCCACCAACUUAUUACUUUACUCCUAUCUAGAUACCACUACAUCAUCUUCACACAAAAGCAAGAGACUGCAGGCCAUCAUCACUCAGUUGUUGAGAAGUCGGAGUCGGAGAGUUUGGCGGGGUCGAUGCUGAUGUUGGUGACCUCACCGUCCCUGCUGUGGUACUUGCGCUUCAGCGAGACACAAAGUUUCUCACCCAGUUUCUUCAACUGUCAAUUCAAAAUGGGGCA
rnacentral:lncRNA from 1 species